rnacentral:rRNA from 1 species
GCUUACGGCCACACCGGCCUGAGUACGCCUGAUCUCGUCCGAUCUCGGAAGCUAAGCAGGGUCGGCCUGGUUAGUACUUGGAUGGGAGACCGCCUGGGAUACCAGGUGCUGUAAGCU